rnacentral:rRNA from 1 species
GUAUUAGAUACCCGGGUAGUCCACGCCGUAAACGAUGAGUGCUAGAUGCUACGGGUAUCUAAU